rnacentral:rRNA from 1 species
GACGUAGGGCGCGAGCGUUGUCCGGAUUUAUUGGGCGUAAAGAGCUCGUAGGCGGCUUGUCGCGUCGUCCGUGAAAACCUGCGGCUCAACUCCGGAUCUGCGGUGGAUACGGGCAGGCUAGAGGCAGGUAGGGGAGAACGGGAAUUCCCGGGUGUAGCGGUGAAGUGACGUAGAGAUCCGGAGGAACACCGACGGCGUAGGCAGCGCCCUGGACGACACCUGACGCUGAGGCACGAAAGCUGGGGGAGCGAAACAGGAUU